rnacentral:rRNA from 1 species
UACGGGGGGGGCAAGCGUUGUUCGGAAUUACUGGGCGUAAAGGGCUCGUAGGCGGCCAACUAAGUCAUACGUGAAAUCCCCAGGCUCAACCUGGGAACUGCGUCUGAUACUGGUUGGCUUGAAUCCGGGAGAGGGAUGCAGAAUUCCAGGUGUAGCGGUGAAAUGCGUAGAUAUCUGGAGGAAUACCGGUGGCGAAGGCGGCAUCCUGGACCGGCAUUGACGCUGAGGAGCGAAAGCCAGGGGAGCAAACGGG